rnacentral:rRNA from 1 species
UUGACCUCAAACAGGUAGGACUA